UCUCGGGACCGUGAACUUAAUCCAACACGCAGACUCAGCGAUGGAAGCUGCAAUCGGUUCUCUUCUCUGCCUCUGCUUUUUGGUUACUGCAAAUGCUGGAAAUAAUUGUUAUUGGAAUGGGCAAGAAUAUGAUGAUGGAGACAUGAUUUCAUACAAGGAUGUUUCACCUUGCAAAGAAUAUAAAUGCGUCAGUGGAGUUGUAGAACUGACCCAUUAUAUGUGCCCUGAUUGUCCUAUUGGAAGCAAUGUAAUAAAACUAUCGUGGGAAUGCUGUCCGAGGUGCCUCAGGAAGUGACGUCAUAUUAUGAAAAAGUGAUACGAUCUGUAGCAAUUCCAUAUUUCUUUUAAGAUUUUGUUUGAAUAAAAGAUGUAUACUGAA